CGCAGGGUGUUCAUGGUCUGGCGAUGGUGAAUGGCCCCAUGGCUGAGCAGGCCAAACUCUUUUCCAGUGUGGAAAGAGUUAGAGAAGCUCCUUAGAAACGUGGGUGUCUGUCAUGUAGGCACAGAAAGGAAAAAGUCUUAUACACUGGCUAUACUGUGCAGCUGCCUCAGAUGGUACAGGACAACAGACAAAGAGCUUCCUUUCCUGAAGAAAGACUAAUCCAGUCUGCAUUUUUAAAUUGUAAAGAAAAAUAUCUGAUAAAAGUGAUACUUAAGGAAUGUUUCUGUAGGUUGUGGAAAUGAGAGGGGUAUUGGUUCUGUUUCGGGGAUUAGGGUGGGGUGGCCACUUUCAUCAACUAAAACUGAAAAUUGGAAUUCAGUUGCCUGAAAGACUGGUGAGAUUCAAACUGGGCUCUAACUGUUAUAGCUACAAGGCUGCUG
rnacentral:lncRNA from 1 species